AUUACUUUUACAGUGACACAUGGGCCCCCAACUGACUAAGAAGGUGUAGGGCUACGAACCCUUACUUUCUAGGACGAAACUCCGAGAUUAAUUCUCGUCUUAAUCAACUAUCAACAAACUAUUCUGAGCCUGAAAAAUGGAUAGGAAGAGGGGUGAGAUUAUGAUUACAUAAUCCCAGUGAGUAAACAGACACCAUCUAAACUAUCUAAAGGCAAGUAAAGGGAGACAAUUAAAAAUAGUUCAUUUCAGCAAAUUUUUCACAACACGAAUAUUAAUUUCAACCAAAUAAUCAAUAUGGCUCGUGAAUUUCUCAAAACUUGGCUCCUGCCAAAAUCAUUCUUGCGGGUAUCUUCGUCAAGGUAUCCCACUGAGACCGCCAAGGCUGUUAAAAAUUCAUAUUUCGCAUAAAACACAUUUUUCGUUGAACAUCACAGUCGUUCCCUGGUGUUGGUUGAGUCUCACUCUCACGUGGUGGUUAACAUGAAAUGCACUCAAAAAGCCCACCUCAGGAGAUACCCUACACGCCUCUACGACUGAGAAUAUAAAGGAGUUUACCGUGCCCCUCUAAUAAGCUGGUCCACAGAACCCCUACCACUGCAGUAGCUAAUCUUUAAUCCACCAAUUGAUCAAAUCUUAAUGGCAUAGCAUAGCAAUUACAUUACUAACCAAUUUAUCAAGGCAAAACAGAUAGUUCAUAUUUUUCAACACAGGUAUAAAUUCAGCCAAUCAUGCCAAUUUAUCACAAGCCAUUUAAUUCAAAUCAUAAUUUACAAUAAAUCACAUGGUCUCCAAUUACUCAAAUUUUCAAAGCCAUCAUUCAAUUUCAAGACAAUUUUAUGAAAUUAUUUUAUAAAAUCACAAUUUCUCCUAAAACAUAGCAAUUUACCAUUUAAACCCAUUUUCUACAAAAUCACACAAUUGUAUAAAACUACUCUAGAUAAUUAAGACGAUAAUAAGUUCACUCACAGUAUUUGGAGUAGAAAUGCUCCUAUUUUCAGUCCGCAAGUACAGUCCUUUACCCGUAUCCAAUGGCUCACCACCGAGCCAUAAUCCAUGACACAUAUUCCAAUUAAAUUGUAUCAACAGUCAUAAGCUAUUUUAGGCUCGAUAUAUAUAUGCAUGAUAUGAAAUGAAAAAUACACAGGUAGCCAUCUACACCCGGUAUUGGCCUAAGUCGAUUUUUCAUCCGAUAAAUUGGCCAAUGCAUCCAAUUUCACUCCAACUUGCUCCAUUUCUUUUCUAAUCCCUCAAUUCACCAAGCACAACUAAUUAACACACAAUUAGGCAAAUUUAUCUUCACUUUUCUUCUUGGAACUUUCGGCCAUUGUGGUGCACUAUCACUAAAAAUUUUCCCAUUCCAUUUUCUCACCAUAAAUCAUCAUUUCAUCAAAUUUUCAACUAAUUCACUUGAUCACAAAAUUAAUUCAUUACUUCUACACUUCAUAUAGGGUUUGGCCAUUGAAGGUUCAUGGGGAAAAUGGAUUCUUUUCUUGUUGUUUUAUUUCUAAACAUGUUUAACUAACUCUAAACACCAACAUAACUCAAAAUCAAACAAUUCCAACAUCUUUCUCUCUCCAUACCCAUUUUGACCAGCCAUGAUUUCAUCAUGAAAACAUGUAAUUUAACCAUGGAAAUUAAGGGAAAAUGCAUGGGUAAGGUAAAUCACUAGCAAAAUCAAAGAAAUUUUACCUUUGCUUGAUCAAAUCCUUGAAUUCCAACACUUUCUCUUUGAUUUUUCCCACCUAGGGUUUGUUCUUCCUUGGUUUCUCAUCUCUUCUGGUUUGGCUGAUCACUAUGGGAGAAAUGGGCUGAUUUUUUACCUUUUUAUAAAGAAAUAAUAAUAUAGUAAAAACAUGACACAUGGCAUUUCCUUAUUGGUUCAAAUUUUAAAUAUUUGACUUUUAAUUCUUUAAUUCUCCACCACACAUUUCUCAUGUUUAUCCAUUUCCAUGAUGAAUAAAAUCCCUUGGUCUGGAGAAAUGUCGGGGUGAAAAUUUACCGAUUUGCCCCCGGGGUGGCAAAAUUACCAUUUCGUCCCUAUACUCCAAAUUAUACCGAAAUUAAAAUUUUUCACUUCUAAAACUCAAAUCAUACUCCAAUAAGUCAAAUGGGGCCAAAAAAUCUUUUUUAAAAAUUUCCAUUUUUGUCCCCAAGUAGCAAAUGAUCAUUUUGCCCCUAGAUAGUGAAAAUUCUGAUUUCACUCCAAAUUGAUCAUUGAACUCUGAAUUACCAUUUUGAGUCAUCCCUGAACUGUGAAACUCUUAAUUUCACCUUAAAAUUCCUAUUUGAAUUAGUUCGAGGCUUAAUCGACUUAAUGGUAACAUUAGGGGCAAUAUCGUCUUUUAACGAUUUCUCAAACUUCCUAAAUAUGCAAACAUUCUAUUGAGCAUGUAAAUGACGUCAUAAUUAUUUUAUAGAACAGGAUUUGACAAAUGCUUAAGGAAAAUAGACUUCAAGUUGAAAUUGAAAAAUCUUACCUUUUUCACUUAUUUUCCCUGAUUUUUCACACUUUUUCUCUUCAAAUUCCCCACCUAGGGUUUGUUCUCUUCCUUUUUCCCUUUGUUCUUG
rnacentral:lncRNA from 1 species